rnacentral:lncRNA from 1 species
GACAGUCACCAGGAGCAAUGGACACGAAGCCCCCAGCCCCAGCUGUGCAUCUCAGGGGCUCCGUAAACAUUGGCCCCUCCAUCCCAAGGGAGUCAUGGCGGCAACUGGGUUGGGGGCUAGGGCCACAAUGGACAAGACAGCAUCUGUGGAUGAGGAGCUGUCCCCUGCCACCUGAUCUCCAGCAGGCACAUUCACCUGUGCUCUCCAGCAGCCAUGUGUACCCAGACAGUGGCAGGCAGUGUUUGGACGGAAAAGGAGAAACCACCUCUGGUGCGGAGGGCUGGGGAGAACUCACGCCAGUGACUGUGUGUUCUGGGACACACUGGACGGAAGGCAGCCUGUCCAUGAUGAACCACACAGCAGCAGCAGCAGCAAGACCAGUGAUGGCCUGAGCGAUCCCUGGUCACGUAACUGGAGCUUGCCCAGAUGAACCAAGUAGGCAACGUGAAUGGAACUUGACUGCGGGACCGAGGAAAAGGACUGAAUUAAGAAGUGGAAACAGCAUGGCAGGAUCCAAGGUCCAAUCAGAUGGAGCCCUGGCAUCACCCUGUGGCAGGAUCCAAUAAGAGCACACCCCUUGGCAUCACCUCAUUGCAAGAUCCAAUUAGAUCACACCUCAUUACACUCUGACUAUAAAACCUGCCCCAAUCCCCAGCUUGGGGAGAUAGAUUUGAGUGUUUCCUUCUGUCUCCUUGCCAGUUAACUCACAAUAAACC